rnacentral:misc_RNA from 1 species
UGCCACCAGAAAUUCAAUUGGCACGCCAUCCUAAUGAAAAUCAAAUACUACCUCUACCUCUACCACCUGAAGUUGCGGAUGAGGGUGGAGUCGUUAGGGAUGUGCCAGAGAUUAGGCUUGAGCGUGACACAGCUGGGGAAGUCUCCUUCAGAUUCCAUGAUUUUUCACUUCCAAACAACUGGGUAUGACCAUUUAUUCAUUAUGCUUCUUUGUCAGUUGAUCGUUGUACAUAGGAAAUUUCAGGAUCAUGCUAGCUUCAAUCGAAUGUCGUUCACGGAUAGCUUAAUUAAUCUAGAAAAUUAGGAAUAAGAUCCUAUAAUUAUUCAUACCGUUGAGUGCAAAACCAAUAGCUUGAGUCAGUCAUCUCCUUCUUAUGUGGGUAUGUAAAUGUCAAGCGACUUUUCUUGUACCUGUUGAUCUAAGAUAAAGAAACAUUUUUUUAAUAUUUCUUUUUUCUUUUUAAUAAAAUGUUUCUUUAUCUUAGAUCAACAGGUACAAGAAAAGUCGCUUGACAUUUACAUACCCACAUAAGAAGGAGAUGACUGACUCAAGCUAUUGGUUUUGCACUCAACGGUAUGAAUAAUUAUAGGAUCUUAUUCCUAAUUUUCUAGAUUAAUUAAGCUAUCCGUGAACGACAUUCGAUUGAAGCUAGCAUGAUCCUGAAAUUUCCUAUGUACAACGAUCAACUGACAAAGAAGCAUAAUGAAUAAAUGGUCAUACCCAGUUGUUUGGAAGUGAAAAAUCAUG